GACAGAGGGUGCAAACGUUGUUCGGAAUUACUGGGCGUAAAGCGUGUGUAGGCGGCUUUGCAAGUCGGAUGUGAAAGCCCCGGGCUCAACCCGGGAAGUGCACUCGAUACUGCAGAACUUGAGUGUGGGAGAGGUUGGUGGAAUUCUCGGUGUAGAGGUGAAAUUCGUAGAUAUCGAGAGGAACACCGGCGGCGAAGGCGGCCAACUGGACCAACACUGACGCUGAGACACGAAAGCGUGGGGAGCAAACAGG
rnacentral:rRNA from 1 species